AGAUUCCACAGUUAAGGCAAAGAGAAGAGUUUCUUUUGGAUAUCCGACAACUGGAGGAGGUGCUGAGGAUACCGAAACCCAGAUACAGCAUACAAUAUUGCCGAUUGAUUCAACACUGCAAGCAGCGACACUUCAAGCAGAAUCAGCCCAGAUGCACCCACCCACGGUGCAGGAAGAAACAUCAUCCCAACAGCCACUUCCAGAAGAAAAUUCAUCACAGGGGCACCCACAGACACUGCCAGAAGAGUCCUUUUCACAGAGCUACCCUGCAAUUGGAGACCAUAAUCUUGUUGAAAGAACAGAGCAAAUUCCGGACAUGGAAACUUCAGGCAGUGUACCAGAAGUCCUUGAAUCAAAAACACCGGAAACUACGCCAGGAGAGUCAUCACUCAAUCUAAUACUGGAAGCUUUAAAGAACAUGGACCAAUGUAGAGCUGAAGAAAGCCAAAGGAUUAAUAAUCGUUUGGACAACAUGGAACAGAACAUCGACCAUAUCAAGACAGCUGUUGUUCAACAAAAUGACGCAAUGAUAUCGCUGGCCCGAUACUACGAUCAACUUGUGUCAGCACAUAUGUCGGUGGUUGGACAUUG